GCCGGUUUAGCUCAGUGGUAGAGCGUCAGUCUUGUAAAUUGAAGGUCGGCAGUUCGAUCCUGCCAUCCGGCU